CUCGGCUCCCGUUGAGGAACCAUUUCUUUUCGGUGGCGUCGCUCGCCGCUGAGAACUCCUCGUCUGCCGGUCUUUUCUCGUUCUCUGCUUCACUCUCUGCCUCUGAUCGUCUCCGCGGGCGAUCCCUCGCGCUCUCCGCCUCGGAUCGGCUCUUCCGACGCCCCGCCUCUCAUGACCAUGACGACUCCACCGCCUCUCGAUCAGGAGGAGGACGAGUUGUUGGUCCCACGCCCGGAGAUCGCGGAAGGGCCCCAGCCAAUGGAAGUUGCUCAGAGUGAAACUACUAGUACUGCUGAGAACCAUCAGGUAGAGGAACCUUCGUCCUCCAGGUUUACAUGGACAAUCGAGAAUUUCUCUAGGUUGAAUACCAAGAAGCUCUACUCUGAUAUGUUUAUAGUCGGUGGCUACCAGUGGAGAGUGCUUAUCUUUCCAAAAGGUAAUAAUGUUGAUUAUUUGUCGAUGUACCUGGAUGUUGCUGAUUCAGCAAGCCUACCAUAUGGGUGGAGUAGGUUUGCACAGUUCAGUUUGGCUGUGGUCAAUCAAAUCCAAAGCAAGUAUUCAAUAAGGAAAGACACCCAACACCAAUUUAACUCACGUGAAAGUGAUUGGGGUUUCACAUCGUUUAUGCCUCUAAGCGAAGUAUAUGACCCAAGCAGAGGAUUUCUAGUAAAUGAUACCAUAGUAGUUGAAGCUGAUGUUGCUGUCCGCAGAGUCAUUGAUUAUUGGUCUUAUGACUCAAAAAAGGAGACAGGUUAUGUUGGUCUCAAGAAUCAGGGGGCUACUUGUUACAUGAAUUCCCUUCUCCAGACUUUGUAUCAUAUUCCUUAUUUCAGGAAGGCUGUGUACCAUAUGCCUACAACUGAGAAUGAUAUGCCAUCAGGAAGCAUUCCAUUGGCCCUGCAGAGUUUGUUUUAUAAGCUCCAAUACAGUGAUGGCAGUGUUGCUACAAAAGAUUUGACGAAAUCUUUCGGAUGGGAUACAUAUGAUUCGUUUAUGCAACAUGAUGUCCAAGAACUCAAUAGGGUUCUUUGUGAGAAGUUGGAAGACAAGAUGAAGGGAACUGUUGUUGAGGGCACUAUACAACAGUUAUUUGAAGGUCAUCACACGAAUUACAUAGAGUGCAUUAAUGUGGAUUACAAAUCCAGCAGAAAGGAGUCUUUUUAUGAUCUUCAGCUUGAUGUCAAAGGUUGUCAUGAUGUUUAUGCUUCUUUUGAUAAGUUCGUUGAAGUUGAGCGUCUUGAAGGAGAUAACAAAUAUCAUGCAGAACAGUAUGGUCUACAGGAUGCCAAGAAGGGUGUUCUCUUUGCUGAUUUCCCCCCUGUUUUGCAACUUCAACUCAAACGUUUUGAAUAUGAUUUCAUGCGAGAUACUAUGAUUAAGAUAAAUGACCGUUAUGAGUUUCCAGUGCAAUUAGACCUUGAUCGAGAAAAUGGCAAAUAUCUUUCUCCUGAUGCAGACAGAAGGGUCCGCAACCUAUACACAAUUCACAGUGUGCUUGUUCACAGUGGUGGAGUGCAUGGUGGACACUACUAUGCCUUUAUCCGUCCAAAUCUUUCUGACCAGUGGUAUAAGUUUGAUGAUGAGCGUGUGACAAAAGAAGAUACAAAGAGGGCAAUUGAGGAACAGUAUGGUGGUGAGGAGGAGUUACCACAGAUAAAUCCCGGUUUCAAUAAUACUCCAUUCAAGUUUACAAAGUAUUCAAAUGCUUACAUGCUUGUAUAUAUUCGUGAAAGUGACAAGGAUAAAAUAAUGUGUAAUGUAGAUGAGAAGGAUAUUGCCGAGCACCUUAGGAUAAGAUUGAAGAGAGAACAAGAAGAAAAAGAACAAAAAAAGAAAGAGAAAGCUGAGGCUCACCUGUAUACUAUCAUUAAGGUGGCCCGGGAUAAGGACCUGAUGGAACAGAUAGGAAGGGAUAUUUAUUUUGACCUGGUUGAUCAUGACAAAGUUUGCAGCUUUCGCAUACAAAAGCAAUUGCCUUUCAGUAUUUUCAAGGAGGAGGUGGCGAGAGAAUUUGGUAUACCAGUACACUUCCAACGAUUUUGGUUGUGGGCUAAACGACAGAAUCAUACAUACCGUCCAAACAGGCCUUUAAGUCCUCAAGAAGAAGCACAAUCUGUUGGGCAGUUGAGGGAGAUAUCUAAUAAGGCACAGAAUGCUGAACUUAAGCUACUCCUAGAAGUAGAGCUUGGACCGGACUUGCAUCCUUCUCCCCCACCUGAAAAAACUAAGGAAGAUAUACUGCUUUUCUUCAAGCUUUAUGACCCUGAAAAGGAGGAGCUUAGAUAUCUUGGGAGGUUGUUUGUGAAGGGGCUUGGAAAGCCAGCAGAUAUACUUACUAAAUUGAAUGAGAUGGCUGGUUUUUCACCAAAUGAAGAAAUUGAACUUUUCGAGGAAAUAAAAUUUGAGCCAAAUGUGAUGUGCGAACGCAUUGACAAGAGACUUCCCUUUCGUUCUAGCCAGCUGGAGGAUGGUGACAUUAUAUGCUAUCAGAAAUCCCCUUCACUUGGCAAUAAUGAGCCAAUCCGUUAUCCUGAUGUUCCAUCUUUUUUGGAAUAUGUUCGUAAUAGGCAGGUGGUUCAUUUUCGAUUGCUAGAGAAGCCAAAGGAAGAUGAUUUUUGCUUAGAGCUGUCAAAACUUGAUACCUACGAUGAUGUUGUAGAAAAGGUGGCACGCCAACUUAGCCUAAAUGAUCCAUCAAAAAUCCGGCUUACAUCACAUAACUGCUACUCUCAGCAGCCUAAACCUCAACCCAUCAAAUAUAGGGGUGUGGAUCAUUUAUCUGAUAUGCUUGUCCAUUUCACACAGACAUCUGAUAUAUUAUAUUAUGAAGUGCUGGAUAUACCAUUGCCUGAAUUGCAAGGUUUAAAAACUCUAAAAGUUGCAUUUCAUCAUGCCACCAAGGAUGAGGUUGCAAUUCAUAGCAUUAGACUACCAAAGAAUAGUAUUGUCGGUGAUGUGAUCAAUGACCUAAAGGCAAAGGUUGAGCUGUCCCACCCUAAUGCUGAACUUCGAUUACUAGAGGUCUUCUAUCACAAGAUUUACAAGAUAUUCCCACCUAGUGAAAAAAUAGAAAACAUAAAUGAUCAGUAUUGGACAUUGCGUGCAGAGGAGGUAAGUUAUUCCAGAGGAAGAGAAAAACCUUGGCCCUCAAGAUCGCUUAAUUCAUGUAUAUCAUUUCAUGAAAGAUCCAAAUCAGAAUCAGAUGCAAAUUCAGAACUUUGGGGAACCUUUUCUUCUGGUUAUUCAUGAGGGUGAAACUUUAGCUGAAGUGAAAGUACGUAUCCAAAAAAAACUUCAGAUUCCGGAUGAUGACUUCUCUAAGUGGAAGUUUGCAUUCUUAUCUAUGGGUCGUCCAGAUUACCUGCAAGAUUCAGAAAUUGUAUCUAAUCGUUUCCAGAGAAGAGAUGUUUAUGGAGCUUGGGAGCAGUACCUUGGAUUAGAACAUUCGGACACUGCUCCAAAAAGGGCUUACACAGCAAAUCAGAACCGUCAUACUUUUGACAAACCAGUGAGAAUCUAUAACUAAAAUGUGGUCAGACACAUAUAUUGUGUUUAUGCCUUGAAGAGAUGCCAUUUUCCCUGGUCAAUCAAGUUCAUGAUAGGAGAGGUCUAAACACCACACUGAUCCUUGAUUCAAAAGCAGCAAGCCGUUCCUUUUGUUAUUUACAUUCCCAGGCUGGUUGAGGAAAGCGUACGGAGCUCCUAAAUUUCAUUUUGGGUUUUUGUCCUUAUUUGCCAUGGCCACCACCUGAACAGCAGUUGGCUUGUUUCUAGUGGAAUAUAGUGCAUAAAGAAGAUUUUGUAUUAGGAAAUGUUUACAGGAGGUAUAUCUGUUCCUACUAGUCUGUUGAUUCUAGCCUCUGCUGUUUGUCUUCUUUUCUAUUAAAGUUGGGCAACAUGGGGUUGUAUAUUGUGGUGAUUACUGUUCAUAGCUGAGUUGAACAGUUACUGUAAGAUUUAUAUACCCCCGCUUUGCCACCUAUAUUAUUAGUUGUUUCAUUCAUGCUAUAAAACUAUACCUUGUUUGAUUA